UACAGAGGGGGCAAGCGUUGUUCGGAAUUACUGGGCGUAAAGGGCGCGUAGGCGGCCUUCUAAGUCGAACGUGAAAUCCCCGGGCUCAACCCGGGGAACUGCGUCCGAUAUGGAAGGCUUGAAUCCGGGAGAGGGAUGCGGAAUUCCAGGUGUAGCGGUGAAAUGCGUAGAUAUCUGGAGGAACACCGGUGGCGAAGGCGGCAUCCUGGGACCGGCAUUGACGCUGAGGCG
rnacentral:rRNA from 1 species